ensembl:snRNA Gm23741 U1 spliceosomal RNA
AUGCUUACCUAGAGGGAGAGACAGCACAAUCACAAAGGUUGUUUUCUCAGGGUGAGGCUUAUCCAUCACAUCCAGAGCAUCUUGAUAUUCUGACCCCUACGAUGUCCCCAAAUCCAGGAAACUCAACUUCAUACUUGGUGAUAGUGAGAAACUGUAUUCAUGCUCUCCUGU